rnacentral:rRNA from 1 species
CAGUCGCCACGGGAACACGAAGGGUGCAAGCGUUACUCGGAAUUACUGGGCGUAAAGCGUGCGUAGGUGGUGGUUUAAGUCCGUUGUGAAAGCCCUGGGCUCAACCUGGGAAUUGCAGUGGAUACUGGGUCACUAGAGUGUGGUAGAGGAUAGUGGAAUUUCCGGUGUAGCAGUGAAAUGCGUAGAGAUCGGAAGGAACGCCCGUGGCGAAAGCGAGCUCCUGGACGUUUUCAGACGCUGAGACGCGAAAGCCAGGGGAGCGAACGGGAUUAGAUACCCGUGUAGUCCCUGUCUCUUAUAC